rnacentral:rRNA from 1 species
UCUCUCUGAAUCUGCGUACGGCUCCGCAAACCAGUUGUAAACUAUAGCAAGUCCGCCUUGAUGCCGGCCGUAAGGUUGGUGCUGGGGCUACAUGGAUACCCGUGGUAAUUCUGUGGCUAAUACAUGAACGUACCCCCUGAUCAACUGGGUAACCGGGAGGUUGGGGACAGUGCGGUCAGUCGCAGAUUUUGCUGGGAAUAGACGCACUUUCAAACCACCAUACAAGCAGUUGGGGUACCGGCCUUCGGGAAGGUGCCCUUUCUGGGUGGGCCUUGCUUUGUGCUUCUGACCUAUCAACUAGAUGGCAGCGUAACGGACAUGCUAUGGUGACAACGGGUACAGAGGAUUAGGGUUCGAUCCUGGAGAGUGGGCCUGAGAGAUUGUUAG